UGUGGGCCCCACUUUUCUUUCAACUUGUUACCAAUAAUAUCUAGAUAUUUACUUCAUGUUGCAACUUGAUACAAGUGGUGAAAUGUGAUCAUUGUAGCAACUAGUUACCUUCUUUUUCUAACCCUUUCAUUCAUGCAUUUCACCUCCUAUCUUCACAACACCAAAAGCUCCCAACAACACCCCAUUUUCGGUCAAGAACACCCCUCCCCCAUCUUCAUUUUCAAGCAACUUUCAUGAUGAUCAAGAUGCAUUUUCAUGGAACUUAGGAGGAUCUAAGACAACCACAAGUUGAAGCAAGCAUUUCCAUUCAUCUAAGAGCUUUCAACCAUCAAAUCUUCAUCUUCUUUGCUUCUUAUUUUCACCUAGAUCAUCCCUAGCCAAGAGCUAGAAGUGGUGAUACUAUUCAGGACGACCGUACGUCAGAUCACAGUUACUUACCAUUCACGGACGCAAUUCUGAAAUUAGUGGACCAUGCAGACAUUUCAGUCAAGGAAAG